CUUGGCGUUAGUUAUAACAUUUCGUCAGAAAAGUCCAUAUUCAAGAACGGAGAAAAAAAUAGUGAAAGGAGUUUGGCUAUACAAUCGCGGACCUCAGAGUAUAACUUUGUUGAUUCGAUUCCUGUCAAAUUAAGAAGAAUGAAAGUUAUGUUGGCUUUUCUAUGCGUCGUGAGUGUGUUCAUUGCAUUUACGACGCCACUGACCGAUGACGACAAAGGUCGAUCUUUGUCCUCACUAACUGACGAUGAAAAAGGACAGGUACACUUAAACAGGGAACGUUCUCCACGAUUUUUGCGCUUCCGCCUUCGUCGAACUCGUCGACCUCAUCGAUCUCGUCGAUCUCGUCGAUCUCGUCGGCCGGCUUCACGAUGCCCUACGAUCAGAUUCCCGUGUUCUCAAAUGCCAAACGUUUGUGCUAACAUGAGAAACGCCAUAAGAAUGGGAAAACCGACGGUUUUGCUGAGGACAACGGACUCAUCGCAGAUACGAAGAAACAGGCGUGCGUCAGGAUGUCGGCAGCUUGGUCGUAGAGCUGGUUACAACUGUGACGAAUACCCAUUCGCCUCUACUUUUCAGGGAGGUAGUAACGCUGUUGUGAGAUUGGUACCUAUUCGGGAGAACUCUAUCCAAGGGGCAACGCUGGGUAACUUCUACAGGCGAAACGGGAUUGGACAUAGAGGUUGUUUUAGGGUCAGCGUGUAGUGAUGCAUCGAUACAUGGAGACUUUCUCAGCACUUAAAUUUCAACUUCUACGUUAAAUAUAGCACGUUUGAGAUAAUAAUUUUUUUUCAUUUCUUCAUUUGCU